AGAGUUUGAUCCUGGCUCAGGAUGAAUGCUAGCGAUAGGCCUAACACAUGCAAGUCGAGGGGCAGCAUAGGGUAGCAAUACUUUGAUGGCGACCGGCGCACGGGUGAGUAACGCGUAUGCAACCUACCUAUAACAGGGGCAUAACCCGGAGAAAUUCGGACUAAUACCGCAUAAAACAGGGGCUCCGCAUGGAGAUAUUUGUUAAAGAUUUAUCGGUUAUAGAUGGGCAUGCGUUCCAUUAGCCAGUUGGUGAGGUAACGGCUCACCAAAGCAACGAUGGAUAGGGGAACUGAGAGGUUUGUCCCCCACACUGGAACUGAGACACGGACCAGACUCCUACGGGAGGCAGCAGUGAGGAAUAUUGGUCAAUGGGCGAGAGCCUGAACCAGCCAAAUCGCGUGAAGGAAGACUGCCUUAUGGGUUGUAAACUUCUUUUAUACAGGAAUAAAAAGAGUUACGUGUAACUUAUUGCAUGUACUGUAUGAAUAAGCAUCGGCUAACUCCGUGCCAGCAGCCGCGGUAAUACGGAGGAUGCGAGCGUUAUCCGGAUUUAUUGGGUUUAAAGGGUGCGCAGGCGGGAACUUAAGUCAGCGGUGAAAUCUCGACGCUUAACGUCGAAACUGCCGUUGAAACUGGGUUUCUUGAGUAUAGAUGAAGUAGGCGGAAUUCGUUGUGUAGCGGUGGCAUGCUUAGAUAUAACGAGGAACUCCGAUUGCGUAGGCAGCUUACUAAGCUAUAACUGACGCUCAAGCACGAAAGCGUGGGGAUCAAACAGGAUUAGAUACCCUGGUAGUCCACGCCGUAAACGAUGAUUACUAGUUGUAUGCGAUAUACGGUAUGUGACUAAGCGAAAGCGAUAAGUAAUCCACCUGGGGAGUACGCCGGCAACGGUGAAACUCAAAGGAACUGA
rnacentral:rRNA from 1 species